rnacentral:tRNA from 1 species
GAGGUGUUAGUAAAAUUAUUACAUAGUCUUGUCAAGACUAAAUUACAGGUGAAACCCCAGUACGCCUCA